rnacentral:misc_RNA from 1 species
UAUAUAUAUAUAUAUAUAUAUAUAUAUA